UACGAAGGGGGCUAGCGUUGCUCGGAAUUACUGGGCGUAAAGGGCGCGUAGGCGGACAGUUUAGUCAGAGGUGAAAGCCCAGGGCUCAACCUUGGAAAUGCCUUUGAUACUGACUGUCUUGAGUUCGGGAGAGGUGAGUGGAAUGCCGAGUGUAGAGGUGAAAUUCGUAGAUAUUCGGCGGAACACCAGUGGCGAAGGCGGUUCUCUGGGACGGUACUGACGCUGAGACGCGAAAGCGUGGGGAGCGAACAGG
rnacentral:rRNA from 1 species